GAGUUUGAUCAUGGCUCAGAUUGAACGCUGGCGGCAUGCCUUACACAUGCAAGUCGAACGGCAGCACGGGAGCUUGCUCCUGGGUGGCGAGUGGCGAACGGGUGAGUAAUGCAUCGGAACGUAUCCUGGAGUGGGGGGAUAACGUAGCGAAAGUUACGCUAAUACCGCAUAUUCUGUGAGCAGGAAAGCGGGGGACCUUCGGGCCUCGCGCUCUUGGAGCGGCCGAUGUCGGAUUAGCUAGUUGGUGAGGUAAAGGCUCACCAAGGCGACGAUCCGUAGCAGGUCUGAGAGGAUGAUCUGCCACACUGGAACUGAGACACGGUCCAGACUCCUACGGGAGGCAGCAGUGGGGAAUUUUGGACAAUGGGGGCAACCCUGAUCCAGCCAUGCCGCGUGAGUGAAGAAGGCCCUCGGGUUGUAAAGCUCUUUCGCGAGGGAAGAAAUUGCACCGGACAAUACCUGGUGUAGAUGACGGUACCUUGAUAAGAAGCACCGGCUAAC
rnacentral:rRNA from 1 species